ensembl:lncRNA
AGACACACUGCAGGUGGUUUGAUUCCUGUUAGAUUCCCUUUACCCACUUGGAAUGCCUUGGGAAAGGAAUGGGGUUCCUCAGAGACAUCCAUGCACUCAACCCAGGAUCAGGCUGAUUUAUAACUCUCAAAGGAACUUUUCUGCUUCCCUGUCCACACCUGUUCCUUAUUCACUUCUUACAGGGGGAGAAUGAAAACAGCAAAAUGUUAAUAGUCUUUCACAUAUUAACGGGCAUUGCAGCUGGCUGCCUGGGGCUUACAGCUGUCAGCAGAUAGUCUUGGCAAAAACCAGGGAACUCCUAAAAGAAUCUAAUCAUUUCUUCUGAGAUUUUACUUCCACGCCAACUGUGGUCCUUCAUUUAUGCUUCUUCAGAAGAGAGUGUACAAUCCCUUUCCUCCUCGUGUCUGCUUUGGGCGUUCCUUCCCUACAGAAAGAUGAUGCCAGUCUUGGAGACACGCCUGGCUCCCACUUGCCACACUUUCAGCUGCUCCCAUGGGCCAAGUCAACAAAUAUUCACUGAGCUACAGGUUGGAAAUGGCAAUAAGGAAGACCCUCUUCCAGCACUAAGAAGCCGCAGCUGAUGAUCUGGCGGUGGUGGGGACACAGUGGACACAUCAAUUGCAUGCUGCUUUUGUUGAUGCUCUUCCACAAGGCCCAACUUUACUCUGAAAAUAAUUGAUGUUGGAAGACAAGCAAGGUGAGAAAAUUCUAUAGAGAGCAAGACACUCUAUAGAGAAGUGCCAAUGGCCAUAUUAUUAUAUAGUUUCUAUAUGAACACAAAUAAAGGAUAUCUGUAAUGAGUCA